rnacentral:rRNA from 1 species
AACGGCAGCACUAAUAGAGAUUGCUCUCUUGGUGGCGAGUGGCGGACGGGUGAGUAAUAUAUCGGAACGUGCCCAGUAGCGGGGGAUAACUACUCGAAAGAGUGGCUAAUACCGCAUACGCCCUACGGGGGAAAGGGGGGGAUUCUUCGGAACCUCUCACUAUUGGAGCGGCCGAUAUCAGAUUAUCUAGUUGGUGGGGUAAAGGCUCACCAGGGCAACGAUCCGUAGCUGGUUUGAGAGGACGACCAGCCACACUGGGACUGAGACACGGCCCACACUCCUACGGGAGGCAGCAGUGGGGAAUUUUGGACAAUGGGGGAAACCCUGAUCCACCCAUCCCGCGUGUAUGAUGAAGGCCUUCGGGUUGUAAAGUACUUUUGGCAGAAAAGAAAAGGUACCUCCUAAUACGAGGUACUGCUGACGGUAUCUGCAAAAUAAGCACCGGCUAACUACGUGCCAGCAGCCGCGGUAAUACGUAGGGUGCAAGCGUUAAUCGGAAUUACUGGGCGUAAAGCGUGUGUAGGCGGUUCGAAAAGAAAGAUUGUGUGACAAUCGCCUAGGGCUCAACCAUCGGAACUUGCAAUUUUAACCUGCCGAGCUAGAGUAUGUUCAGAGGGGGGUAGAAUUCCACGUGUAGCAGUGAAAUGCGUAGAUAUGUGGAGGAAUACCGAUGGCGAACGCAGCCCCCCUGGGAUAAAUACUGACGCUCACACACGAAAGCGUGGGGAGCAAACAAGAUUAGAUACCCUGGUAGUCCACGCCCUAAACGAUGUCAACUAGCUGUUGGGGGCCGUUACGGCCUUAGUAGCGCAGCUAACGCGUUGAAUGUUGAACCGCCGUGGGAGUAGCUACGCUCGACAAGUAUUCAAAGACUCAAGAGGUAUGAUCUACGAGUGCGGGGAGCAACCCCGAUCAAGCGGUGGAUGAUGUGGAUUAAUUCGAUGCAACGCGAAAAACCUUACCUACCCUUGACAUGUCUGGAAUGCCGAAGAGAUUUGGCAGUGCUCGCAAGAGAACCGGAACACAGGUGCUGCAUGGCUGUCGUCAGCUCGUGUCGUGAGAUGUUGGGUUAAGUCCCGCAACGAGCGCAACCCUUGUCAUUAGUUGCUACGCAAGAGCACUCUAAUGAGACUGCCGGUGACAAACCGGAGGAAGGUGGGGAUGACGUCAAGUCCUCAUGGCCCUUAUGGGUAGGGCUUCACACGUCAUACAAUGGUCGGGACAGAGGGUCGCCAACCCGCGAGGGGGAGCCAAUCUCAGAAACCCGAUCGUAGUCCGGAUCGCAGUCUGCAACUCGACUGCGUGAAGUCGGAAUCGCUAGUAAUCGCGGAUCAGAAUGUCGCGGUGAAUACGUUCCCGGGUCUUGUACACACCGCCCGUCACACCAUGGGAGUGGGUUUCACCAGAAGUAGGUAGCCUAACCGUAAGGAGGGCGCU